UAGGGAAUCUUCGGCAAUGGGGGCAACCCUGACCGAGCGACGCCGCGUGAGUGAAGAAGGUUUUCGGAUCGUAAAGCUCUGUUGUAAGAGAAGAACGUGUGUGAGAGUGGAAAGUUCACACAGUGACGGUAACUUACCAGAAAGGGACGGCUAACUACGUGCCCG
rnacentral:rRNA from 1 species